UACGAACGAGACUCUAGCCUACUAAAUAGUUCGUCGAUCCUUUAUGCGUCGACGUUAACUUCUUAGAGGGACAAGUGGCUUUUAGCCACACGAGAUUGAGCAAUAACAGGUCUGUGAUGCCCUUAGAUGUCCGGGGCCGCACGCGCGCUACACUGAAGGAGACAGCGUGGCUUUUUCCCUGAUUCGAAAGGAUUGGGAAACCCGUUGAAUUUCCUUCGUGAUAGGGAUUGGGGCUUGAAAUUCUUCCCCAUGAACGAGGAAUUCCCAGUAAGCGCGAGUCAUAAGCUCGCGUUGAUUACGUCCCUGCCCUUUGUA
rnacentral:rRNA from 1 species